CGGAAAGUAGCUUAGUUUGGUAGAGCGCUGGCUUCGGGAGUCAGAGGUCGUGGGUUCAAAUCCCAUCUUUCCGACCA
rnacentral:tRNA from 1 species